UGUGAAGCGACAUCCAGUCAAAGGUAAAUAUUCUAUAAUUCAGCCUCACAGAUUUGGUGUAUUUUGAAACUUGGAUCUUAAAGUAAUUACUUAAAAUAAAAGAUGUAGUUCAGAUUUUUGAGAUGUAAAUAUAUUUUUCUUGAAGCUGGUUGAUAACUCAGUUUCAUGUACAGAACAGAUUGUUCACAGCUCUGAUGAGAUUAAUGAUAAAAAAGAUCCAAUUCAUCACAGAGGUGUUAGAUUGGAUUAAAUGCACAUUACAUAACGUUCUUCCACUAGAGGUCUCAAUCAAAGCAAUAACAACAGACGGAGUUUGAUGGCGUGGUGUAGAAGCUUCGUUCUGGUUCUCCUGGUUAAGAUUCCUUCAGUGUUCAUCCUCCUCUCCAGAACAAAUGGACCAGGUGAUCAAAACCGAUCCCCGGCCUCGUUACGGUGGAUUACCAUGGUAACAGGGAGCGGUAAACGGGGAGUCCAUUAUUCAGCUGUUUGACUGGGACACGCUCGCCAGAUAACAGGAUUACACAGAGAGCUCCCAGCAGGACGAGCAGACCGCCAGCAACAAAAACACAAACCUGAUCUGAGCCGGAAAAAACGUUUUUAACGGCAGAAAACUGCAGGGUUUCUAUUUUGGUGCCCAAACUCCAGCUGGAGUCAGCAGAGUCGCAGCGUUCUGGGAGAUCAGAGGCGACUGGAAGUGGUUGUGGUUUCUCUCCAUGUGCUGAUGGGGAAUAAUGAGGUGGAUAAUGAAGACGUGGGUUCCUGCAGCGGUUGGAGGGUUUACCGGCGCUGCCGUCAUCACGCAUUAACAGCUGCUCCACCAAAACCAUGUGUCUGCAGAGCUGCAAUUUACAGGAAGGAGAGAAAAAUAAUCUCAUUUUCCUCAGAAUCUGGGUUCAUCUGGAGUUACUGGAUUCUUGGAAAUGGAUGCAAACUGUCAGCUUUGAUGAAGUCCUGGUCGCUUGUUAACUGGACUGAAGGAGGCGCCACAACAAUCCUUCAGAGUCUGAGAUGUUGCUCGGUUCUGGUUCUGUCUUGAGUUGCAGAAAUGUGAGUCUUCUUCUAACAAAUGUCCACGAAUAGGACUGCUGUCAGGUUAAACCCGGGAAAUCAUGUCAUUAAAAUCACAUGACUUCACACAUGUGAUGUCAUAGAUUGGGGCGGGGCAAUCUUCCAACAGGAAGUACGUCUGUGAAGUCCGGUCAAAGGUCAGUGAUGAAGGAUUUAGACUGAUUUAAUGUUAAGGAUAUAAAUCUGUCAUAAAUGAAGCGAUGUUGCUGAUUGAUGUCAGAUUGUGUUUAUGAUCAAUUCCUGCAUAAAAAUAUUCUAUAACACGGAGAAAACAUGUUUCACAUUUUUUAUUUCAGUCAGUUUUAUUGUCCCAUUUUGGAAAUUGUGGUUUGAAAUGUGGGUCAUAUAUGUUCUUAAAUUGGUGAAAUAUGCAUUUCAGCACAUUAAAUGUGAAAUAUCAACAGUUAUUCUGGGUUUUAGUCUUGUAGUGCUUAUUUGUUGUUAUUUGUCAGCAGAUUGCAAAUUAUAUUAUCACUAAUAUUAAUACAUGAUAUAAUACAUUACAAUAACAGCAAAAACAAUGUAGUUACUGAAAUGUCCGAACAUCAGUGUGCACUUUGGCCUUAAGUGUUUUUAUUAUACGUAUUAAAGUGAUUUAGAGUUUCUCUCAGUGUGAACUGUCCCAAAGUAGGAAAGACACAUAAUCUGGAACACUUUUAUAUUUGUCAUUUCUUCUCCUGAGUGUGAUAUCUGCGUUCUCUCUUUUCUGAUGUGAGUAGAAAACACUUUGGGGAUUCCUGAAGGAUUCUGGGUGCAGAUGUAUAUGUUGGCUUCAUAUUGCUGAAAUGCUACAUUACUGUAAUUCACCGUAUUGUAUAUAUUUGUAAAUGCUGAAUAUUUUCUGCUUCUUGACUGUGUUACAUAAAUCCAUCACUAUGUUUUAGUGUAAAGUCCUUUUAACAUUUACUAAAUAAGUUUGUAUAAUUACCACUUAAAUAAACUCAGGAAGUGAGUUUGGCAUGACGAGCUGUAACAGAACAUCCAAAAAUAUCAGUUUUAG